rnacentral:rRNA from 1 species
AACGAACGCUGGCGGCAUGCCUAACACAUGCAAGUCGAACGAGACCUUCGGGUGUAGUGGCGCACGGAUGCGUAACGCAUAGGAACCUGCCCUUAGGGUCGGAAUAACUCCCCGAAAGAGGGGCGAAUACCUGAUAAUUACUUCGUACCAAAGAUUUAUGGCCUGUGGUUGGGCCCGGGUUGGAUUAGCUAGUUGGUAGGGUAAAAGCAUCCCAAGGCGACGAUCCAUAGCUGGUCGUAGAGGAUGAGCAGCCACACUGGGACUGAGACACGGCCCAGACCCUACCGGGAGGAAGAAGUAGGGAAUAUUGGAAAAGGGGCGAAAGCCUGAUCAAGCAAGGCCGCGUGAGUGAUGCAGGCCUUAGGGUUGUAAAGCCUUUUUACACGGAAUGAUACUGACAGUACCGGGAGAAUAAGCUCCGGCUAACUCCGUG